rnacentral:antisense_RNA from 1 species
CCGGUGCUGACCGGUGCGGACCGGUGCGGGCCGGUGCCGGCCAGUGCAGGCCAGGCCCGGCCGGGGCGAGGCAGGUGGCCGCGUCCGAGGACCGCGUCGCACAGCAGCUUCCAGGACCUGGAGAGAAAUCGAGAUGAAGAAGGGAAGUCACUUGCUUCAUGGCCAGGGAAGGGCUCCAGCAAGACAUGGGCUCCUGAAAGUGGCAGUGUGUGAAGGCCCGGAGAGGCACAGGACCUGUCCCCUCGCCCUCCUUGGAUUGCAGCAAGGAAAGAGGUGUGUCUUCCGCAGAAAAAUGUGCAUGUUCUUUUAGAUGUGUGGCCUCGGAGCAAGGUAUUUAGCCUGCCUCUAUGUGCUCACCUGGAAAAUGGGGUGAUGAAGAAGAUGAUGAUGAUAAUGGGAACUCCCUCUUGGAGCUGCUGUGCAGAUGAAUUUUCCUUCUAACAGUCAGGCCCCUCUGCUGCAAGUCUGCUGGAGUUUUCUGGAGGUCCACUCCAGACCCUGUUUGCCUGGGUAUCACCAGCCGAGGCUGCAGAACAGCAAAGAUUGCUGCCUGUUCCUUCCUCUGGAAGCUUUGUCCCAGGGAGGCAUCCACCAGAUGCCAGCUGGAGCUCUUCUGUAUGAGGAAAAGUGGGCAAGUUUUGAGUUCAACCUGAGGCCUCAAGGAUGUGUGCAACCCAUGGUACUUGAAUUUACUUAUUGACUGUUUUUUUGGAAAUCCUUAUUUCCCAAAACUCGUGGAAGGAGCUGACUUCUGGCAGGAAAUGUGGAACUGGCAGCGUGUCGUGCAAGCAUCUGCAAUCCCAGUCCUGAGCUGGACUUCUCAGAGAGGCUGGGCAUUAUUUAUGGAGAUGUCGGAGUGACAAGGGGAACUUCUGGCCAGGAACUGCCGGUGGUGUCACAUCCUUAACCUGGCUGACAUCGGAACACCCUGGGGGGAGCAUUUCUCCAGGAAAGGAUGGUGGGUCAGGAGCCCGCAUGGUGUCUUUUCAAAGCAAUAAUAAAGAUAUCAGAAGGGCA